CCUGGCCUGACCCAAUACAUGAAGAAAAACACAAAAUACUUAGACCAGGGCGUGACAGGAAACAAUGAACAGGAGAGAUGGAAAAUCGAUCAGCAACGCAACGACGAUGUGCAGGGAGGGGAGGAAGGAGUACUUUACAGCGCCUUACAUUUCUCAAAUGGAGAUCGCAGAGGCAAAGGAAAGAACACACCUAACUAGUGUGAUCCUAUGUAUUUUUUAGCAGCUGCAGUUGUAGCUGGAACAUGCUGAUGUGACAUUUCUAUAAGUUUGUAUACCUGCUGGUACAGAUAUUGUUGAUCUGGCACUGUAUUGUUGUGGUUAGAUUUUCUCCCAGAGGUGUGGACUCCAGUCACAUGAUAUUGACUCAAGUCACAAAUAAAAUAACUUGAGACUUGACU